CCUGCAGUCGACGGGGUGGAGGGGCAACUCUCCAUUCAGUGGCGAACGGGUGAGUAAUGCAUCGGAACGUGCCUCGUAGUGGGGGAUAACCCGGCGAAAGCCGGGCUAAUACCGCAUAUGCUCUGUGGAGGAAAGUGGGGGACCUGCAAGGGCCUCACGCUAUGAGAGCGGCCGAUGUCCGAUUAGCUUGUUGGUGGGGUAAUGGCCUACCAAGGCGACGAUCGGUAGCUGGUCUGAGAGGAUGAUCAGCCACACUGGGACUGAGACACGGCCCAGACUCCUACGGGAGGCAGCAGUGGGGAAUUUUGGACAAUGGGGGCAACCCUGAUCCAGCCAUGCCGCGUGCGGGAAGAAGGCCUUCGGGUUGUAAACCGCUUUUAGUCGGGAAGAAAAGGCGCAGGACAAUACCCUGCGUUCUUGACGGUACCGGCGGAAUAAGCACCGGCUAACUACGUGCCAGCAGCCGCGGUAAUACGUAGGGUGCGAGCGUUAAUCGGAAUUACUGGGCGUAAAGCGUGCGCAGGCGGUUCGUUGUGUCCGAUGUGAAAGCCCCGGGCUUAACCUGGGAAUGGCAUUGGAAACUGGCGAGCUUGAGUGCGGCAGAGGGGGGUGGAAUUCCGCGUGUAGCAGUGAAAUGCGUAGAGAUGCGGAGGAACACCGAUGGCGAAGGCAGCCCCCUGGGUCGACACUGACCCUCAGGCACGAAAGCGUGGGGAGCAAACAGGAAUUAGAUACCCUGGUAAUCCACGCCCCUAAACAAUGUGAACUGGGGUGUUGGGGAAGCCGAUUUC
rnacentral:rRNA from 1 species